rnacentral:lncRNA from 1 species
AGUGCUCAGGCCAUCAACCAAAGAUAAACUAGAAGAUUUGGUGCCCAGCAUGAAGAAUAGUUCCUUUCAAGUACCUGUAUGUCCUGAAUGUAUUCCUUCCAGUGGGUUCUUGGUCUCGCUGACUUCAAGAAUGAAGCCUUGGACCCUCGUGAUAUGUGCUCACCCUUCUCUGCUCAGCUCUGUGCCUGGGAGGCUGACCUCUACAAACUGCAUCACCAGGCUUCCGCCCUCUGGCUUCCAGAUGGAUUUGGCCAAUGGGCAGCACCAGUGGGAAAGGAGAGGACAGGAGGAGAGACAGGCUGAGGCCUCCCUCCUCCUGUGUCCCUGACAUACAGUGACAGUGCUGCCCUGCAGCUCAGGAUGGAUGCAGUCAAGGACGACAGCGCAUGUCCAAAAAAGCUGUCUGCUGAACAUUUGCCCAGCAGAUUUUAGAAAGAAAGGAAACAUCUUAGUGAUUUUCUUGCCUCCAGAAGAUUCCCUGAUCCAAUCUUUCCUUGGCACAAACUUUUAGUUAUUGUGUUUACAUAUACAUUUUAUAUAUGUGUGGUCAUUAUUGUAUCUGUUUUAUUUGGGGACUUUAUCUUGAUGUGUGUUAUACCUAAUACACUGCAAUAUAAAUUAUGUAAUUAUGUGCUUUUUUUUUUUGAGAUGGAGUCUCGUUCUGUCACCCAUGCUGGAGUGCAGUGGUGUGAUCUCGGCUCACUGCAACCUCCACCUUCUGGGUUCAAGUGAUUCUGCUGCUUCUGCGUCUCAAGUAGCUGGGACUACAGGCGCCUGCCACCACACUCAGCUAAUUUUUUUUUUUUUUUUUUAAGUAGAGGUGGGGCUUCACCAUGUUGGCCAGGCUGCUUUCGAACUCCUGACGUCAGGUGAUCCACCCACCUCAGCCUCACAAAGUCCUGGAUUACAGGCAUGAGCCACCACACCCGCCCUGUGCUUUCAAUAAGUACUUUCUCACUGCUUACUGACUGAUACCCCUAGCUUUUGUAUCAUGAGGAAAAAGAGGCAUAAGAGAAUGAAUCCCUGGCCCCAGUAUCAGUCAGGAUUUAAUCAGAAAACAGAAGUCAUGCUAGGUUUUUGAUGAGUUGGAGAGAGUUGAAAGAGGAAUUAAGGCUUGCACAACCAUUAGAAGGGCUGGGUAAGGAAAGGUCAGACGGUUGCUCUUAGGGCAUCUGAAAUGCAGAGAUCUCAAGAGAAAUUGGGGCUUCUGUUGUGAUCAAGUUGCCCAUAGCAGGUGCUUCUCAGCAGGACCCUGAGAAGCUGAGGCUCUGAGUAACCGCCUGUAGCUGGCACUAAAGAAAAAUGGCUUCUCCUUUUCUGCCUCAGAUGUUUCACGGGGGUGCCUCUCACUGGACAAAUGUAACCUCGAGGCACAUAGGAAAAGAACUGGGUAGUGAGGUUUCUGGUUUUCCUCCAAGAUGGAGAAGAGUGGAGGGCUGGGGAGCAUGAGUCACAAUGAAGUUGAACUAUCAACAGACCACCCAGAAACAAAACCUCCCAUAUAUUAAUGAAAAAUAAAAAAAGCAAACAGCAAUUGAUAAACAAAUGUAUUUAAGUUAUACCAAGGGCAAGAUUGCUCUGUCAAAAAGCAUUUGAUAAUCAGUUAAUUGGUGAGUGUCUGCUAUGCAGAAUUAGAGGCAGUUAUUUUUUUGUUUGUUUGUUUUUGUUUUAGAUUAUUUCUUGCUCAAAACUCACUCAGGUUCCUGGGCUAUAAUACUUGAGCCAGACAGAGCAGCUUUGAUCUCACUGGCAGUUUGUUUAGAAGCCUGAGAUCUGGAGUGGCUUUCUAAAAUCUUCAGCUCUAAAAACCAAUACAGUUUAGUAAAAAUCUAUACAUUUGCUUGCAAUAGUCUCAAGUACAUAGUAAAAUGACAGAAAUGAUUUCAACCAAGAAAUUAGCCAUUUUCUUCCUCUUGAUUUAAGAAGGGAGAAAUAGCUUUGGAGGGAAGUGGCAAUAUUUCUAAAUUUACACACAAAUUCACACCGACAGUAUGCUCCUAAUGGUUGCCACAUUUAGAGCUAACCUGGUUUUCUGAGAUUGAUCUGGGAUGGAAGGAGAAAGAACAGCUAACUGACCGGAAGCUAAACGCCACAAGGCAAAGCCUCUUUGUUAGAAGCUGAAGAUUAUCAUAUUUCUAGGGGAGGCUGGAUGCUUUGGUUAAGAGAGACCUAGUUAUGAAUCCAGCCUUCUAAAGACCUCCAGGGAGAACUCUGCAAGUCUCCUCAGGGCAGGGGUUCUGGGAGUUUCUAGGUUCUUGCAAUUCCUGCAAGCAAACACAUCAACACACAAAAAAGCACUGGGAAUUCAGAGUCCCAGAGAAGGACAUUUGGGUACAUCCCUCAAGGUUAAAAUUUGCUGGAAACUUUGAUAAGAUAUUUGGAUGUGGAGAAGACUGGGGAAGUGUUAAGUAAAGGAAUAUGAAGUUGGGAGUCAAUUAUUCAUUAUUUUCCCUAUUCCUCUCACCCAUUAGCAUCAAUAAUUGAAAAAGAACCAUCCAUGUGUGUAUGGGGAAGGCAGUAGGCUUAGAGGCUGCUAAUAACAAUUUAGUAAAUGAGGCCAAAAAUGGGGCUCUGCAGGCAACAAGCUUGACUGGGUAGAGCCAGGCCACCUCAAAGCUGAGGCUUUAACCACCAUGGCCUGCCAUCUGCAGCACAUGACUCACUGCAUCUUUAAGCAAGACUUUGCCCAAAUAAGUACCUUCCACUUUGGUUCUAUAUUGCUGCCACCAGUGUAACUACUCUGCUGCCUUUCCUAGGGGUGGGGACAAGCUACCUCCUUGAGUUUGAGGCUUGAGCCUACCUUUGUACCUGUGGUCCUUAAGAGGUGCUGUCCUUCUCAUUUAGCUCAUACAAAGUGACUCGGGCAUCCUGCAGCAUCCCUGUACAGGUAUCAGCCCAGUCCACACUGCUAAUUGCACCCAUUUUCUUCAAAGUCCAUCUGUUUACUUAAGCAUGUUGGUGCUCAUGCUCAAUGUGCAAGGUAAUAUAGAUUGAUAUGGAUUCUUUGGGAUUUUUAGUUAAGUGGUUUCUGCUUGUGACAUUCUUUCCUUUUUUCUUUCUUUCUUUCUUUUUUUUGAGACGGAGUCUCUGUCGCCAGGCUGGAGUGCAGUGGCAUGAUCUCAGCUAGGCUCACUGCAACCUCCGUCUCCCGGGUUCAAGCAAUUCUCCUGCCUCAGCCUCCCAUGUAGCUGGGAUUACAGGCGCAUGCCACCAUGCCCAGCUAGUUUUUUUGUAUUUUUUUUUUAGUAGAGACGGGGUUUCACCAUAUUGGUCAGGCUGGUCUUGAACUCCUGACCUUGUGAUCUGCCCGCCUCGGCCUCCCAAAGUGCUGGGAUUACAGGCAUGAGCCACCACGCCUGACCUGCUUGUGACAUUAUUUUCUGCCUUUUAAAUACAAAUAGAAGUAUACAAAAGCAUAUACCUCAGUGCUUCAGGGAGAAAAGUGUGUUAGAUAAAUAGACUACCUGUAAGGAAGACUUAGUAUAAUGACAAGCAUGACUGCUUGGUAUAUUCAGAAUUUUGAUGUGUGACAAAUAAUGUGUGUCAUUCUUUGAAAUAUAAAUGUUAGAGCUUCUUAUGUUAAAAGAAGCCAUCCUAACCAAAUAAUACUCUAGGCUUUCAGUGUACCUAUAAACAUGUUCAUCUGGUGGGAAUUAAGAGAUAUGCCAAAAAACAGAUUUGAAUUUGAGCAAAAGAAUAGCAAUACAUUAACUGCUAUAUUAUAGAGUUUGUAAAGAUUGCUAUAGUGAUUAUCAGUGCUUCACGGUGUCAUUAUUGGCUUCACUAUUAAAGAUAUUGCUGUGAAAAUGAAAAUU